rnacentral:rRNA from 1 species
AUUGAACGCUGGCGGCAGGCCUAACACAUGCAAGUCGAACGGUAACAGGAAGAAGCUUGCUUCUUUGCUGACGAGUGGCGGACGGGUGAGUAAUGUCUGGGAAACUGCCUGAUGGAGGGGGAUAACUACUGGAAACGGUAGCUAAUACCGCAUAACGUCGCAAGACCAAAGAGGGGGACCUUCGGGCCUCUUGCCAUCGGAUGUGCCCAGAUGGGAUUAGCUAGUAGGUGGGGUAACGGCUCACCUAGGCGACGAUCCCUAGCUGGUCUGAGAGGAUGACCAGCCACACUGGAACUGAGACACGGUCCAGACUCCUACGGGAGGCAGCAGUGGGGAAUAUUGCACAAUGGGCGCAAGCCUGAUGCAGCCAUGCCGCGUGUAUGAAGAAGGCCUUCGGGUUGUAAAGUACUUUCAGCGGGGAGGAAGGGAGUAAAGUUAAUACCUUGCUCAUUGACGUUACCCGCA